UCAGGACUUAUGUUGGCUUGGAGACAGCACUGCUUGACAGAAGAUACCUGCUUUCCUAAUGCCCGCAAAAGUACAAGGCCCAAGAGUAUGAACUUCUUGGAGCUGCUUUGCACUUGAUGCAAUCCUGGCCUCAGUAGAGAAGCCUGUCAAGUGGAGCUGGAGGUCUCUGAUAGAGGAGAACAUGGACACCGUGGUGCCAGCAUUCCUCAG
rnacentral:lncRNA from 1 species